GAGCAGAAUCGAGUACACAUAAGUAUCUGGUCUCGGGUUGAUAGGACGAAUAGAUGUGAUGACUCUCUCGUGUUAAGGAAACUCUCAAACUUGAACUGUGAUAGUGGAUUCAUUGUUGACCUUCACUGGGAUCCGUUGCAGACAUUAACUUGGACAGUGAUGGCAGGAUCCGGUGUCGCUGUGAGGCUGCAUGAGUUCAGAGAGUCUCACAACUCCAAAGAGCUUGUCUCACCAGCUAUGUUAAAACCAAAAAGAUCACGUUUGGGGAGGGAUGUGCAUGGAUUAUAUCCAGGACAGCUGGGCAGAGUACAUACUAUCCACUCCAAGGCCUGUGGCUAUGAACACCACAGCGAACAGUCUCAGCACCUCCGUGCGUCUCCAAACCAUCAACAGGAAAGCUACCAGCCGAGCUUUGAUAUUUGCACUCUGAGAGCUUUGAGUGUCCUUCGC